AUUAACAAUAGCAUUAUAAUUAUAUUUUCACGAAUGGGAGUGAGCUAAACAUUAAUAGAUUGUGAAUUAAUACGUAGUAUAGUAUAAAAAAAUUUGUGUUUAGGGGUGAUAGGCCUUUCAAAUUCCCCGAUAACUUGUUGCAUGUGAAAAGUAUUAAGUACAUAAAUAAAUUUAAAAAGUUAAGCUUUUAAAUGUGUAUAAAAAACAAUUUGUGUGUUUAACAUAGUGUAAUAGCUAGUUACUAUACACUAUAAUAUUAAUUAUGUGUUGUUAUUGAAAAUAAUGUGCCGGUUUAUUGUGCUAUUACUUGAGAAUGUUAAUAUUAGUAGGCAUCAGUAAAUAUGCUAAAGGAACUCGGCAAAACGACUGUUCAACUGUUUAUCAAAAACAUAGCUAUACGAAUUAAUGUGUAGUUAUUUCUGCUCCAUGAUUAUUAAAUAGCCGCAGUACUCUGACUGUGCAAAGGUAGCAUAAUCAGUUGGCUCUUAAUUAGAGUCUGGUAUGAAUGAAAAUAUGAGUGGUAGCUGUCUUAGUGUAUUUAUAUGAAUUUAUUAAACGAGUGCAAAGACUUGUAACUUAAUAAUAGACGAGAAGACCCUAGAAACUUGGUAUAGUUUUUGUUGGGGCGACAUGGUUACACUUAACUAACUUUAUAUAACAUGACAUAAUAUUGGUAGAGUAAGUUACUCUAGGGAUAACAGCAUAAUUUAAAUAGUUUGUGACCUCGAUGUUGGACUAGGUAUUGUACCCCUUAGACAGGGGUAUUGAGUGCUCUGUUCGAGCAAUAUACACCUACAUGAUCUGAGUUCAGACCGG
rnacentral:rRNA from 1 species